AGAGUGAACAGUUAUGUGUAACAAGUACCUGGUAAGAGUGAACAGUUAUGUGUAACACGUACCUGGUAAGAGUGAACAGUUAUGUGUAACACGUACCUGGUAAGAGUGAACAGUUAUGUGUAACACGUACCUGGUAAGAGUGAACAGUUAUGUGUAACACGUACCUGGUAAGAGUGAACAGUUAUGUGUAACACGUACCUGGUAAGAGUGAACAUAGGUAUUUUAUUUAUCUAAUAGGUUUCACUAUAUUAUGCAAGGUAUAUUAAACCAAUGAAAUAUUCCUCAAGUGUCAGAAUAAGAUGUCAGUUAUGAAACAGUCAUACAAUGUUGUUUGAAGAAACAGAUUUUAACUUAUUCCCUUAUGAAGACUUAUCAAUUGUUUAAGUUUGUUUAGUUUUGUUAGUGUUUGAAAUGUUGUGACAGUACAGUUGAUUACAUUUUAUGUAAUCUAAUUAUUUUAUUUAAGUGCUUAAAUUUGUGUUUUUAUACAAAAUAUGUGAUUCUGUAUGUUUGAUUGCAUUUUUAAAGGAAUCUGAUCCUUUGAUUUAUUUUUAAUGCUCCAACUUUAUAACCUCACAUAUAAUUUAUUGUCUUGCCUGUAAUAAAAGUUGCUGAAGGCAAUACAUAUGUAUACUAGAUUGGUGAUAUCAGGGAUGACAGCAUGAACUAUAUCUAUACAGAGAUGAUUCUGUUCUGGUUUUUUAGAAUAUUUCUUGUUAUGGUAAUUUUGAUUUGUCCAUUAUCAUUUAAAUUAUAGAUUCUCUCAUGACCAUUUUGUGAUUACAGAGAAAAAAUGUAAUUGCUUAUUGGUACAGCCUUAUCUGCUUUUACCGUUGAUGUUCAAAAUCAUUUUUUUGUAUAUAAAGCUUAGAAUAUAUCUAAAGGUUGUAGAGCUAAAUUCACAUUGUAUACACUUGACUUAUGGUCUAUAUAAAAAUAAGGAGAUGUGGUAUGAUUCCCAAUGAGACAACUAUCCACCAAAGUUCAAAUAAAGUGGAUGUUAGCAAUUAUAGGCAACUGUACGGCCUUCAACAAUGAGAAAACCCAUACCGUAUGGUCGGCUAUAAAAAGCCCUGACAUGAAAAGUAUGAAACAAUUCAAUUGAGAAAACUAAAACCCUAAUUUAUAACAAAACAUUUUAUGAAAAACAAAUUUGACAGCCAUGAACCAACGACAGCUACUGAACUACAGGCUUCUGACUUGGGACAGGCACAUAAAGAAUGUGGCGGGGUUAAACAUGUUUGUGAGCGCUCAACCCUCCCCUAACCUGGGACAGUGGUGUAACAGUACAACAUAAGAACAAACUAUAAAAAUCAGUUGAAAAAGGCUUAUCUCAUCAGAUGGAUACAAAUAGAAAUACAUCUAACAAAAAAACAGAGUGGACGUGGACGGGUACUUAUACAUCCCCACACCAAAAAGACACUAAGUACAGAUCUGAGAGUACUCACAGUUACUGACAGCUUGUUCAAAGCCAAUCACAACUAAAAAAAAUCACGUAUCUAAGACUAAAAUAUCAAUCAGUACACAUCAAACAUCCAAUGGAUUUAGUGUAAAGACGUCAUUAACAGUCAGAAAAAAACAUGACCUUGUGUAUAGUUUGCAUUUGUCAUGUUCAUUGUCAUUGACAUCAUUCUUAUGGUUCAAUUACCUGGUACUCAAUGAAAAAAACAGUAUAAGUUUCAUGAUCAUUUGGUCUAUUGAGUUACUUGGGAAUACACUCAACUAUGUGUUAAAAAUCAAUGUAAAACAGAUGUCCAUUAUGGGUAAGUUUGCAUAAAUGUGACCUCAUUAUUAUUUACCAUUGAGCACACUUACUCAGUUUAUACAAUUAAGUCAGUUUCUCUAUGUAUAAACUCAAUGUUAUUGUUCUGCACUCAUUCUAGUGUACACCUGAUUUGUUAUUGGGAGGGACUGUUCAUGUUUUGUUUAUUACUGUUUCAUGAUAAGGUAAGGUUCUCCAUUACACUGUGUAAUUGGUGACAUUUUUUGGUCCAUGCCAUCAUAAGGAUUACAUGUCCUUCUGACAGGGCUACCUGACCUUAAUAUCAUUAUAUGAUUCAUUGAUAGAAGAUGUUUUUAGAAAUCAAACCUCAGUUAUUUAAAGUUAUAGCUGAACUAUAUUUGUUGUAUUGAAUCAUAGUAAUGAGUACAAGUCUGGCUGUUUAGGCUUCCUUUACCUUAUUUUUAUGGUUCAUUAAUAUGUAAGUUUCUGUAAUAAAAGUGAUAUGACCUAAGUUUGUGCACUUUAUUGAAUUAUUUUCUUUGGGUUUUCUUUGAUUUAGGUUGAUAUAAAACAGUGAUAAGAUAUUUUAUCAUGGAAUAUGCAUUGUUUGUUGUUUUAGAAGGGACCCAAGUGAAUCCAGGGUUUAGUUGUUGCUUUUUUAUAGGUUAGGGAAAUGUAUAUAUAAAAGAUAGAUUAAGGGUGAAGGGAAAGGAUCAGAAAGAUAAUACAAUGUAGUGUAAUUAUGAAUGGUCAGGGUUACAAAUUAUAAAAGAAAUUAUUGUAUGGUUUCAUUGUUUAUUUAUUGUCUUUUUAUGUUUCUAAUAUUUAUUAUAUUUAUUUAUUACAAACCUACUGUUAGCUGUUUUGUUAGUUGUCAUGCUUACUAUAUAUCUGUUAAUUUACUGAUUUGUAGAUUAUUAUUUAUACUCAUAUUUAUUAAUGAUGCGGCUUGGAAGGGUCAUAUAUUUUAUAACAAUCAUUAUUUGAUAGCAAGAAAAUAACUAGAGUAUGGGGUGACCUAUUUUUGUUGAUUGUGGUGAUGGGUUGUUGUCUCAUUGACAUCAGCCACAUCUCUUCUUUUUUCACCUUUGAAAUAGUUAUAAAUGUUAACACACUAAUACUGUUUUGGCAAGGUAUUUUCUUAUUUUCCUUUUUUUUUUAUUGUCUUGUUUCUUUUGACAGAAGAAAUUCAAAAAGAUAUAUGUACAUCUGUAUUAGUAACACUAUUGCACUAUAAUUGUCAUGAAAUGAAGCAGGGUAUUUUUUCAUUAGUAGUGAAGAGAUUUCAUUUAUUUCUUAUUAUAUGUUUAAAUAAGAAACGGAUAGCUGAAUUCCAGUGAGUAUUUGUGAAUAGUCAUGUUCAUUUGGGAAAUUAUUAUAUAUAAGCAUUCCAUUUUUUGAAGCAAAAACUAAUUAAAAAUAUUGGUUGCAAACCUCUGUAACAAGUGUCCAGAAGUUUCUAUGGUAUAAAAUGUUCGUGUCCUUAAGAAUGUUUAUGAAGACCUGGAAGUUGUCAUGCAAUCAAUAAAUGCCCAAAAAUCUUUUUGUAUUCCAUAUAAUUUUAUACAUAUUGAUAUCUAGUUAGCUAUUUUAUCACAAUAAAGACAAUCAUGAUGUAAUAAACCCUAGGGCCAGUUAGUUGAUUAGCAGAUGGGGGUAACAUCUAGAUCAUAUUAACCAUCAAACUUUUUGCAAAUGAUGUUUGGAAACAUGAUGUAAAUUUAGUCAUUGUUACACAUGUAUGUGGAUUUAUUUUUGUUAUUUUAGAUCAAUAGAAAAAUAAGUAGACAGUAGGAGAUGGAAUAGGAUUUUCAGGAAAUUUUCCUGAAGCAGUAAACUGAAUUAAAGAAAUUCUCCAUGACGAACAAAGUAUUCUCUUGUUGCACGAUUGUUUUAAAGGAAGUGCACAAUGGAAUACUUAUGUUCUCUUUUAAGUAUUCUUGUUUGCAAUCUUACGGAUCUGCCAAUUCUUAAAGGAUUUAGUUUAAUUGAAUUUCUUUUUACAUAUUAAGGAACAUAUGCUUGUUUCUUACAGAGACAAUGAAGCAUCAAAUUCUUUAUUAAGUAUUAAGGGUGAACAGGGAUGUAAAUACAUCUUUUAUGUAACAAUAGAAGCCAUUAAUACGUAAAAAAAUAAAUCAUAUAGAACACUUCUUGAAAAUAUUUCCUUAAGGUAGAUGGGGUGUCUUAAUUAUAAUCCAUAGAAUUUUUUAAUAAUUUGCCAAAAUGUAGUUUAUAUCAUGCAUUUUUAAAAAAAAUAAUAAAAAGAAUGGGUCACGGGGCUUAUUUUCACGCUAUAGGUUGUGCAAAAUUGACAGAUUUUGUAUAGAUUAUGCAUGGAAAACCCAAUUUUCUGCCAUAAAACGAAAACUACACCAUAGAAUUUUGAGAUAAAAUAUGAGAAGAUAGCUCUAAUAGUAUGCUUUCAGAUAAGAAAAAGAAAAAAUGGGGUCACGGGACCCGUUUUCUUGCUACAUAAUAAAAUAGGUAAAUUCCUAACACAUUCUAUUGUAAAAGUAACUUUAUCUGAAUUAUCUGCCCUUACAUUUGAGUUGCCUCCCCUUAUGUGGCAAUUUUGAUAAAAGUGUGUGUCAGUAUUAUGAAUCAAAAAGAUAUGCAAAUAUAAGAAGGGAAAUAUGCGAUUUUUUUUUAUACAUGUUGGUUAAUAAAUGGUAUUAAAUACG